GGUUUUUUUUGCUGGGCGUUUCUAUUUAAAGUGUGUGGAGAGUGUGGAGCAUGUGGAGUGUGGAAGUGUGGAGUAUGUGGAGAGUGUGGAGAGUGUGGAGUGUGUGGAGAGUGUGGAGUGUGUGGAGAGUGUGGAGUAUGUGGAGAGUGUGGAGAGUGUGGAGUGUGUGGAGAGUGUGGAGUAUGUGGAGAGUGUGGAGAGUGUGGAGUGUGUGGAGAGUGUGGAGCGUGUGGAGAGUGUGGAGUGUGUGGAGAGUGUGGAGUGUGUGGAUUGUGUGGAGUGUGUGGAGUGUGUGGAGAGUGUGGAGUGUGUAGAGAGUGUGGAGUGUUGUGUGUGUGUGGAGUGUGUGUGUGGAGUGUGUGGAGUGUGUGGAGUGUGUGGAGUGUGUGUGUGUGGAGUGUGUGUGUGUGGAGUGUGUGGAGUGUGUGUGUGUGGAGUGUGUGUGUGUGGAGUGUGUGGAGUGUGUGUGUGUGGAGUGUGUGUGUGUGGAGUGUGUAGAGAGUGUGUGUGUGGAGUGUGUGUGUGUGGAGUGUGUGGAGUGUGUGUGUGUGGAGUGUGUGUGUGUGGAGUGUGUAGAGAGUGUGGAGUAUGUGGAGCAUAUGGAGAGUGUGGAACUUGUGGAGUGUGUGCGUGGAGCAUCUGUGGAGUGUGUGGAGCGUGUGUGUGGAGCGUGAGUGUGGAGUGUGAGUGGAGUGUGAGUGGAGUGUGUGAGGUUUGUUUGGAGGUUGAGGAGUGUGUGGAGCA
ensembl:lncRNA